rnacentral:rRNA from 1 species
UACGAAGGGGGCUAGCGUUGUUCGGAAUUACUGGGCGUAAAGGGCUCGUAGGUGGCCAACUAAGUCAGACGUGAAAUCCCUCGGCUUAACCGGGGAACUGCGUCUGAUACUGGAUGGCUUGAGGUGGGAGAGGGAUGCGGAAUUCCAGGUGUAGCGGUGAAAUGCGUAGAUAUCAGGAGGAACACCGGUGGUGUAGACGGCUUUCUGGACCGUAACUGACGCUGAGACACGAAAGCGUGGGUAGCAAACAGG